rnacentral:lncRNA from 1 species
UUUCUCGGGCCUAUAUGGAAACUAUUUGCAAGUUGCAAUAUUUAUUGGUGUUAAGUUUGGAUGGCGACCUUGGGGAGGGAUUACCUGACGAAGUGGGUGACUUGUUUAACCUGAGAUAUUUGAGGUUGAGUUCUUUAGAAAUGGAUGAACUUCCACAGACAUUAGGCAACCUUCAAAACCUACAAACUUUGGAUAUAGACAACUCUGAAGAGGGAAUUAGAGUUCCAAGUGGAAUUGGAACAUUGAAAAGUCUUCUUACUUUAGAUGACGUAUAUGCUGGAGGGGUCACUGCCAGUGAACUAAGCUCGUUAACCCAACUGCAACAACUCAGUGUUUUCUCUGUGUCUGAAGAUAAUUCCACCCAACUAUUUGCAGCCAUCACGAAGAUGGAAAAUCUUGUCUCCUUGUCACUCCAAGCAGAUGAAUGGGACUCCUUUCAUUCAUCUGUUCUAGAUUUGGAAUCAUUUUCCCCUCCAUCUUCUAUUAAACAUCUGAGUUUAUGUGGUGCCCUUGUUGAAAUGCCUGCUUGGCUUGCCUCCAUGGAAAACCUCACUGUGUUACAUCUAAAUAAUUCCAAUCUAUUAGAGCCCCCAGCCCCUACACUUCAAUUUCUUCCCAAAUUAAAGGUUCUUCAUAUAGAUGGUGCUUAUAAAGUACGCUGCAUCGGUAAAGAGUUCUGUGACGCAGGUGGGUUUCCAAAGCUUGAAAAACUUACUUUCUCUGAUGAGGAUAUCCUAGUGGAGUGGACAGAGAUAGCCCGUGGAGCUUUUCUUAGUUUAAGGGAGCUUGAAUUUUGGUCUUGUCCAAAGUUGAGGUUUCUUCCAGAAGGCUUACAGAAUAUUUCUAGUCUUCAGGUGUUGAAUUUGUAUGAUACACAUAUGGAACUUGAAAGGCGAUUAUUGGGUGAAGAGAGUUACAAGAUCAAGCAUAUUUCAAAAGUCAACAUCAAUCGCUGAAAACGCGAGAGAAUUCGUACAAAAUAAGUUAGAAAAAAGAAAACUCUCAGAUGUUACUUUAUUUCAUUAGGUGAUUUUACGGUGGUAGUUAUUUUUUUUUUUUUAUAUAUAAGUUUUCUUUGAAUGACAAUUAAAAUAUCGUCUACUCCAGGAUGCAAUUCCAUAAUCAGAAUAUUUUUAUCCAGAAAGUUUUGGUUCUCUUUACACCCAAAGCUUCUUAAAAAGCACAAACCAAAAAAAAAAAAAAAAAAGUAGUCAUUUAGAUAAACUUCAUAUAGGAAGUGAAUAAUCAUUGAACAUUGAUAUCAAGAAUCUUGCCUGUGGUAGAAGCUUUAGGAAUGGUUAUAUACAAAACUCCAUCUUGAACCUCAGCUUUUAUUUUCUCAAACUGUAUGUUCUCAGGUAAUGCAAUUCUGCAUCUAUAUUUCCCAUAGCUCUUAGCAGACCAUCCUCCAUCUUCUUCUUCUUCUUCCUCUAUUCCAUUUUGUGCACCAUUGACAUUAUUUUUCUCGGGCACCUUCUCUGCUUUCAAAACCAACAUCUUCUCUUCAACCCAUACCUUCACAUCUUCUUUAGUCAUUCCAGGCAUGUCAAAUCUCAUCUUGUACUCUGUUUCUCCUUCUUUUAUCUCCCAUGGAGUCCUUCCUCUGCUAUACCCACUUCGUUCAACUGGUGAAGGUGGCUCUGAUGGCCAAGUAGCCGUAUAGACAAAAGGGUCUUCCAUCAUUCUCUCCAUCGUCUCCAUCAUCUGCUGUACUGUUCUAGCUGGAGGAAAUCUGUCCCAUAGCCCUGCAAUUCAAGAUGUUUCUCAAAAUCUUAAAAACCCCACAUUUUACACCUAAAUUUAGACAAUUAAGAGAGAACAAUUAAUUUGUUACUAAUUAAUUAAAUUAAUUACAUACCAACUGGAGCAACAGGAGCCGUUCUUUUCUUGGUUUGGGGUUGUUGGUGGUGCUGCUGCUUGGUGGCUUUCUGUAAAUGAUCAAGAUUGUCUCUAUUUUCUGCUGCCUUUGCUUUGACAAUGAAACGAAGGUUUCUUGAUCGAGCAGAAGUGCUUUUUGAUGAUAAAGGAAGAGAAAAGGUUAAAUUGGAAAGAGCUUGAGACAUUUUUCUAAAGGAAUGAACUCCAAGCUUUUACUUGAUCGGUGGAGAAACACAGAAGGAAUUGGUGACAUGUAAAGAGAGGAGUGGACAUUUCUGGAAACAGCAUUUUGUGAUGUAUAGAAAAUGGGAGUGGCAGAGGACCUUAACGUUCUGGAACUCUCCAGAAAUUCAUUCCUUAACUUCUGGCUGUUUCUGAAAUAAUUUUGUUUCUAAUUAUAGAUAAGCCUUGCUCAAGUACUAUCCGCUUCCUCUCUGUUCUUGAUGUUGACCCUAAUUGGGCCAGUAACUAGGCCAGGCCCAUCCUGGUCCAUCUCCGAAAAUUAUAUAGAAUUUUACCCAAAAAAAUUGAUAUAAAUCCAAUAGGCUUUUCUGAUACCCUCUCCUGAGGAUAAUUUUAGAAUACAAAUUAUUCUUUGUUUAGAUUCCAUUCGAUCCGCAUCCGUACACCAAACUAAUCAAUAAAGAAUUAAAAAAAAAAUAUUACUGUUUUAUUUUUCAUUCAAUAAGUAUUUAGAAAUAUCCUAAUUUGAAUCGAAAAACUGCUUUUAAUUAGCAUAAUAUAUGAAAUGCUGAAUACUCUUCUUCUGGAAAGGGAAGAACUCUCUCUCUUUUCAAACAAAAACAAAUAGUGUUGCAUGAAUUUAUAUUGCAAAUAUUACGUGAUAUUUAUAAAAUAAUUUUCAUCACAUUAAUAAUAAUUAUACAUUUUCACGAAUAAAAAGUAAAAAAAAAAAAAAAAAAAUUUACAAUCCAAAUAUCUUAGCAUAAUUGAUGACUGUCAAAAAGGAAAAAUCUCUUCCAGAUUACUAAAGCCAUCCCAUGAAAGCAAAGAGUCUACAUUAUCAAUCCAAUUCUGCUGAGAUUCUUCUUUGAUGACAGAUUCUUCAAUUCUUGAACAAAAAGAUUCAGAUUUAUCAGUACAAGAGUUCAAAACAGAUCCUGCAUCAAAUUCUUUUCUCAAAGAUUCACUUUCUAUCUGAUAAUCCUUCACUUUUGACUCUUCUUUAGCGGUUUCAGCUUCUUCUGUAUCAAUUCUCUUAUGGGUUUGUGGGUCUAUACCAAGAAUCUUUAGUUUCUUCUUAAUUCUUAUAUUCCAAUGGUUCUUUAUUUCAUUAUCUGUACGGCCUGGAAAAUGUGCAGCAAUUUUAGACCACCUGCAGAAUUAUACAAAAUUUAAUAAUUUCAUACCGUGUGUUUAAUAGUGAUUUAAAAAGUAUAAUCACAAGAAUUAAUUGCAAACCUGUUACCCAAACGCGAAUGGAGUUCGAUUAUUUGAUCUUCUUCUGAUUCUGUUAAAGCUCCUCUUUUAAGAUCAGGCCUCAAUAAAAAGCAUAAUCACAAGAAUUAAUCUCAAUCUGCAACUCUUCCCACACCUUAAUAAACCUACUUAUGUACUUAAUAUUAACCACAGGAACAAGAAAAUAUUUGUCUUUCUGUUACAAAAACAAGAAAUGCCAAGAAGCUAGUUAAUCAAGAGAAGCAACGGCUUUUGUCUGCAAUUAUUGAUGAUAGAGUCCACCUUUAUUUUAAUGGACCACUCAACCCUUCUCUUUUUAACGGUAAAUUGUACAAAGUGAUUAUUAUUUUUAAUAAACAAAUAAACCGUUUGUCUUAUGAAUGUUAAGAUACAUAAUAUGGUAUUUUCACGUGAUCCAAAAUAAUAUUCAAAAAAUACAGUUAAAUAUUUUCGAUGGGGUGAGAUAGGGGUGGCCACGGUUCCGGAACCGGCGGUUCCGGUUCCAAAAAAAUUGGAACCGGAACCGAACCAAAAAUUUCCGAUUCCAAUUCCGGUUUGGAACCGAACGGUUCCGGUUCCGAUACGUUUUCAAAACCGACGGUUCCGAUCGGUUUUCCGACCGGUUUUCCGGCAAUCGCAUAAUUUUAAAUUUUAAAUUUUGAAGACCGGUUUUCAAAAUUUAAUAAAUUUGUGAAAAUUAUUUCUAAAAACAAUACACCUAAAAAACUAAAAAAUGCUUCAAUUAAAUUUAUUUUUUUAAAGACUUGAACAACAACAAAGAAACGCAAACCCAACCAACCCAUUAGGGAAAAAGGAAUUAACAAGAAAAUAAAAAGAUGAUCCAAACCAUUAGCACUUGAUACAAUUGAUAAAAAUAAAAAAAUAAAGAAGAAGAAGAAGCAAAAGACGUGGAGGUAAAAAAGAAAAAGACUUUACCUCUUAGUUCGGUGGUGGGUUUGAAGGGGAAGCCUAUGACUAUUUGAUUUUCUUGAUAGUGUAAAGAAAAUCACAACAAAAUUUAAAAAAAAAAAAAAAAUGGACAAUUUGGCUAGAACCGGCGGUUCUAACCGGCCGAAGAACCGGCGGGGGGGGUGCCGGGGCNNNNNNNNNNNNNNNNUGUGGGGACCCGCCGGUUUGCGGUUCCACAAAUCUAGAACCGGAUCUGAAUCGGAAAUCUCCGGUUCCGGUUCCCUCCGGUUCUAGUUACGGUUCGGGACCGGUUCGAACCGAUGGUUCCGGUUCCGAAAACCGUAAUAUGGCCACCCUUAGGGUGAGAUGAGAUAGUAUAGAUUCUUUUUCUUUUAAUCAGAUAUUUCGAAUUCAAACUCAUUUUAUAUGUCUGCCUAAUGUGAAUUCAAACUAAUCGAGUCAAUGAGCUACGGACACCGAAUCAUAAAAAAAUAAAACAUUGUUGAAUAUUAAAACCUCGAGUUAUAUUUGGACACCACCAACUUUUUGGUUCUAUUGGAUUUUAAAUCAAACACUAAUUUACUUAUAACUUUUAACUUAAAAGAUAAAUUUAACUAAAUUAGAAGUCAAACUAAAAGACCAUCUAUAUUAGGAAAAAAGGUUUUAUAAAUAUUGAAAAUUCAUGAAGAUGUGUGAUUUAUCUCAAUCCAUUGAAAAAGAAAAUCUAUUUUAUCUGGGGAAAAAAAAUGAAAAUUCAGCAAUUACGUAGGAUUUAGUUAUUGAAAUUCAAUUUUUUUAUGGAAAAUUAUUUUUUACAAAUGUAAAAUUUGAAAAAAAAAUAUUAUAGCAAAGUUAAAUAUUGCAUUGGAAAGACAAUAAAUGUUUUCAUAUCUUUUAAGGUUAACUUUUGUAAACUUCUCGAUUUUCAUAUCUUUUCCCUUAUCUUUUCUGGUUCCUUCACGCAUCCAAAAAUAUGCCUCAGAUCUGCUUCACUCGUAGAUCAAAUGAUCGAAAAGAAAUGUAUUUUGCGGAGAUGCAAAGAAGAAAGGAUAGCUUAUCUUCUACAGCACUAAACAAAAUAGGUGAGAGUUGUUCUUCUUCUUUAGCUGAUUUCGCUUCAAAAAAUCAAAGUCUUCCUCAUUAUCUCAUGUCCUGCUUAGACUAUUGGGCUAUCGUUCAUAGAGAACGAUAUCGUUUUCCUUUUACGAAGGCUGAUAUGGCUCGGCUUUUAUCAGCUGAAGAUCUGAUACCAGAGAAAGAAGGGGAACUCAUAGAUAAUCUAGCACAUAACGUUAUCGACGAGUUAAUUCAUCUAGGACUGCUGAUACAAACAUACACAGAUGGAUAUGGGCCUAGUAUUUACUUUAAUGAAUCAUAUGUAAAUUUAUGCGUUGUCGAGGUGGAUGAAGUGGACUUUUUGGCUGAAGCUGCGAAUUUACCUGUACGAGCUAUAAUACAUCAUCACAAGAACAAUAUUCCUCCUGAUUUCAAAACCCUUCAAUUUCGUUCUCUAUUUUUGACUUCAUUCGGAUCUGUUUUAUCUCGGGCCUAUAUGGAAACUAUUUGCAAGUUGCAAUAUUUAUUGGUGUUACGUUUGGGUGGCAGCUCUGCGGAGAGAUUACCUGACGAAGUGGGUGACUUGUUUCACCUGAGAUAUUUGAGCUCGAAAUUGUUUUGGAAGGAUGAACUUCCACAGACAUUAGGCAACCUUCAAAACCUACAAACUUUGGAUAUACUCAGCCCGUUCCCUUUUCAGGGAAUUAGAGUUCCAAGUGGAAUUGGAACAUUGAAAAGUCUUCUUAAUUUAGAUGAAGUAUAUGCUGGAGGCGCCAUUGCCAGUGAACUAAGCUCGUUAACCCAACUGCAACAACUCAGUGUUAACUGUGUGUCUGAAGAUAAUUCCACCCAACUAUUUGCAGCCAUCACGAAGAUGGAAAAUCUUGUCUCCUUGUCACUCAAAGCAGAUGAAUUCUACUCCCUUAAUUCAUCUGUUCUAGAUUUGGAAUCAUUUUCCCCUCCAUCUUCUAUUAAACAUCUGAGGUUAUAUGGUGCCCUUGUUGAAAUGCCUGCUUGGCUUGCCUCCAUGGAAAACCUCACUGUGUUACAUUUAAGGUAUUCCAAUCUAUUAGAGCCUCCAGCCCCUACACUUCAAUUUCUUCCCAAAUUAAAGAUUCUUCGUAUAGAUCGUGCUUAUAAAGUACGCUGCAUCGGUAAAGAGUUCUGUGACACAGGUGGGUUUCCAAAGCUUGAAAUACUUGCUUUCUCUCAGGAGGAUAUCCUAGUGGAGUGGACAGAGAUAGGCCGUGGAGCUUUUCCUAGUUUAAGGCAUCUUGAAUUUUCGUUUUGUCCAAACUUGAGGUUUCUUCCAGAAGGCUUACAGAAUAUUUCUAGUCUUCAGGUGUUGAAUUUGUGUGGUACACAUAUCGACCUUGGAAGGCGAUUACUGAGUGAAGAGAGUUACAAGAUCAAGCAUAUUUCAAAAGUCAGCUUCAGCGUCAACCGGAACGAUUGGUUUAGGCAUGGGGUUCGGUUCUAACCCGAACCGAACCGUACUGUAGAUGAACCGAUACUUGACCAGAACCGGCAGUUCAUAAUUUUGAACUGGAACCGGCGGUUCAAAUACCGGUUAAGGUUCAUGUGAAUGUUAAAAUAUGAAUCGGAACCGGCCCGAAACCGGCGGCUCCGGUCAGGUUCGAACUGGAUGCACAAAAAAAUUGUAGCUUAAAAUUUUUAUAAAAAAAUUUAUAUCACUUGAUUUAUGGUGAAGAGAAGUACAAUGGUAUGUAAAUUAUAAAAAGUGGUGAAAAUAAAUACACAUUUUUUUUUACUUAAUUUAUAUAAAAAAUGGUACAUGAAUAGUUGAUUUAUAAAAAAAAAAAAAAACUUUCAAGUGUAUAAAAAAAGAGUGUAACGGAUAGAUUUUAAUAUGAUAGGUGAUUUUUAUUUAUUUUUUGGUAAAUAAAUUUUAUUCAUUUUUUAAUCAUUUAUUUAUUUAUUUACUGUAAUUUACUAAAUUAUUCAAAAAUAUAGUUGUUAUUUUUCUAUUAUAAGAGACAAUUUGAAAAACUAAUAAAUGAGAAACAUGUAUAAAUAUGUUGAGUUAUUUUUUAUUUCACAACCAAUUAUAUUAUAACUCUUCUCUUAUUCUCAAUCAAAAUUCUCUUAAAUUUUCAUAGUUCAUUAUUCUUUUAUUGCUUUAUUUUCCUUAAUAUUGGAAUUAUCUAUUGUUUAUUUUUUAUUUUCUUACAUCCAAUUCUAAAUUCUUUCUCUAAUCUCAAUUUUUUCCAUUCAUUUGAUUUUUUUAAUAAUUUUCUUAAUAUUUGAAAAUAAUAAUUUUCAACUCAUUUCAUUAAUUUUAUAUUCUAUUUAUAGUUUCUAUAUUAGUGAAUUAGCAAAAUUUGUAAAUUUAAUGUAAUAAUAGUUCUAAAUUAGUUAAUAUAAGUUUUUUUUUUCAAAUUUUAUAAUAAUUUAUUUAGUUCAUAAAAUUUAAACAUUUUAAAAUUAUUAUUUAUUUAUGAAUUCGGAAUCAAAAUUUUAUUAUUUUUUUAAAAAUAUACGUAAUGCCAAAUCGAAUCGAAACCGUAAUUCGAACCGUGCCGAACCGUACUGGAACCGAAAUCGGACCAAAACCGAAAGUUCAAAAGUCGAUUUCGAUUCAAAAUUUUAAACAUCUCGAAUCGGCGGUUCACUAAACCGGCUAUGCCUAGAUUGGUUAAAAAGAAUUAAUAAAACAUAAGUUAAAAAAAAAAAAAAGGAAAACUCUGGAUGUUACUUUAUUUCAUUCGGUGAUUAUAUAUAUAUAUAUAUAUAUAUAUAUAUAUAUAUAUAUAUAUAUAUAUAUNNNNNNNNNNNNNNNNNNNNNNNNNNNNNNNNNNNNNNNNNNNNNNNNNNNNNNNNNNNUAUAUAUUAUAAGUUUUCCUUGAAUGACAAUUAAAAUAUCGGCUACUCCAGGAUGCAAUUCCAUGAUCAGAAUAUUAUUAGCCAGAAAGUUUUGAUUCUCUUUACACCCAAAGCUUCUUACAUAGUACUAACCCAAAAAAGAAAAAAACGUCAUUUAGUUAAACGUCACAUACAUAUAGGAAGUGAAUGAUCAUUGAACAUUGAUAUUGUUGCGGAAUUUAACGUGGUAAUGGAUAAAUAUUUAGUUUUGGUAGUUGAUGAUAAAAUGAGAAGUAAAAUAAUAAAUGGAAGAGACACAAGAUUUACGUGGAAACCCUCCAAUGUAGAGGAAAAAACCAUGGGGCGAGAGAGGAGUAAAUGCACUAUGAAAAAUAUGGAGAUACAAAUGAUUUUACACCCACACAAAAAUACACUCAAGAUAACACCUCACUACACUCAAUGAAUAUGGCAAGAGUGUGUAUAUAUAUGAAAAGGUGGUAUAUGAAGAGAGUGGAUAGUUUUAGAGAAAUGCUCUUGGAGGAUUUCUCUCUUGGAUGAAUUUCAUUUGGUUGGAUGUUAUCAAUUUGCUCCAAGCAAGGUUGCCUUAUAUAGAGUUGUAUCACCAUGUGAACAAAUUUCAAGUUUGCCUUCCAUUGUUGAAGAUGUGCCAUCCUAGUCCAAGUUAGCUCACCAACAUUGAAUUUUCCUAGCCGCCAAAAGACUAGUAUAAACGACAAAAAACAUAUUUCUCAGCCACCAAAAGACUAGUAGUGUGAACCAACAUUGAAGCCACCCAAAGACUAGUAUAAGCCAUGAAAAACAUGUGGCCAACCAAUAUAGACUUGAAGUGUGAAUCUUAGAAUUCUAAGGCAAUUUUAACAAUCUCCACCUUGACUUAAAUUCUAAGAUGAUCUCCUUACAAAAUGAUGUGCAUAUUCCUUUCUCGCCAUGCCCCAAAGGGCCUUUAGAAUUGGUGAACACCGAUCAAGUCCAAGCAAUGCUUGAACUUGAGAUUUGGAACUGGUUUCGUGAGCAUAUCCGCAGGAUUAUGAGUUGUAGCAAUUUUCUUCACGAUGAUCUUCCCAUCUGCCACAACAUCCCGAAUAAAAUACUGCCUCACAUCAAUGUGCUUGGUUCUUUCAUGAUACAUUUGAUUUUUAGUUAAAUGAAUAGCACUUUGACUAUCACAAAAUACAGUAACAACAUCUUGGGUUAAACCAAGAUCAGUAACCAAACCUCUUAACCAGAUUGCUUCUUUGACUCCUUCAGUGAUUGCAAUAUAUUCUGCCUCCGUAGUUGACAGUGCCACAACAAUAUAUUCCAGCUAAUGGCAGAAUUGCAUAAAGUAAAUACAUAACCUGACAAAGACCUUCUCUUAUCAAGAUCACCUGCAUAAUCAAAGUCAACAUAUCCAACAACAAUAUUCGGUGUUACCUUAUUCCUAUCAAAAACCAAACCAGUAUCCGCAGAACCUUUCAAGUAGUGGAAUAUCCAUUUAACUGCUUGCCAGUGUUCUUUACCUGGAUUACUCAUGUACCUGCUCACAACACUAACUGCCUGUGCAAGAUCAGGUCUAGUGCAUACCAUAGCAUACAUAAGACUACCAACUGCACUAGAAUAGGGCACAUGUGACAAUUGCUCUUUCUCUUCAUUAGACUGAGGGCANNNNNNNNNNNNNNNNNNNNNNNNNNNNNNNNNNNNNNNNNNNNNNNNNNNNNNNNNNNNNNNNNNNNNNNNNNNNNNNNNNNNNNNNNNNNNNNNNNNNNNNNNNNNNNNNNNNNNNNNNNNNNNNNNNNNNNNNNNNNNNNNNNNNNNNNNNNNNNNNNNNNNNNNNNNNNNNNNNNNNNNNNNNNNNNNNNNNNNNNNNNNNNNNNNNNNNNNNNNNNNNNNNNNNNNNNNNNNNNNNNNNNNNNNNUCAUCAACAUAUAACAAUAAGUAGACAAAAGAUCCAUCUGAAAACUUCUUGUGAUAAACACAAUUAUCAUACUGACUACGACAAUACCCAUGCUCAACCAUAAAGGAAUCAAACCUUUUGUACCAUUGUCUUGGGGACUGUUUUAGUCCAUAAAGAGACUUCUUCAAGUGACAAACAUAGUCUUCUUUUCCAGGAACAACAAAUCCUUCUGGUUGUUGCAUAUAAAUCUGCUCCUCGAGCUCUCCAUGUAAGAAAGCAGUCUUGACAUCAAGUUGUUCUAAUUCAAGAUCCUGCAAGGCAACAAGGGCAAGAAGUACACGUAUAGAAGUGUGACGAACAACAGGAGAAAACACUUCAUUAAAGUCUACACCAUGUUUUUGAGUGUAGCCUUUAGCAACUAAACGUGCUUUAUAUCUUGCAUCUUCAACUCCGGGAUUGCCUUCUUUCUUCUUAUAGACCCAUUUACAGCCUACAACUCUUUGGCCUUUUGGCAAUUUCACCAACUGCCAAGUAUCAUUCUUGUGCAGAGAUUCUAUUUCUUCUUGCAGCGAAACGUGACACUCAGAAGAAUUAGGACAUGAGAUUGCUUCAGAGUAUAUGUGAGGUUUUCCACCUUCAACUGUAUCCUCUGCAACAGCAAGAGCAUAAGCAACCAAAUUCCCUUCAUUAUAUCUUUCAGGCCGUUUGAUUUCUCUCCUGGAUUUAUCUCUAACAAUAGAAUAGUUUUCACGACGAUCUGGUUCAGUGGAAUCAGGAACCUCCGAUGUGAUCCGAGAUGAGGAAAUAUUCUCUUCGCUAUGAGUUGGUAUCUCAAAUUCAAGCUCCACCUUCUCGUCAGUUUUCUUUGAAUCACCUGUGUCAGACGGAGAAGAACUGACAGUUUCUUUUUCAGGGAGAAUUAGCACAUUUUCAUUGAAAGUAACGUCCCUACUGAUAAUUACUUUCUUAAGUUCAGGACACCACAAGCGAUACCCUUUCACACCAGAUGCAUAACCAAUAAAUAUGCAUUUUCGAGCUCUAGGCUCUAAUUUUCCCUGAUUUACAUGUGCAUAUGCAGGACAUCCAAAAAUUUUUAAAUUCGAAUAAUCAAUAGGAUUACCUGACCAAACUUCCUCUGGAAUCUUGAAGUCGAGUGAUGUGUGUGGGGAACGAUUCACCAAAUAACAUGCGGUAGAUGCAGCUUCGGCCCAAAAUUCUUUAGGCAAGGCAUCAUUAGAGAGCAUGCAAUAAACUCUCUCCAUCAAUGUCCUGUUCAUUCGUUCUGCAACUCCAUUUUGUUGAGGCGUACCGGCAACCGUGCGGUGACUCACAAUUCCUUCAUUUUCGCAGAACGCAUUGAAAUCACCUCCACAAAACUCUAGACCAUUAUCGGUCCUGAGUCGCUUGACCUUCUUCCCUGUCUGGUUUUCCAUCAAAAUCUUCCACUUCUUAAAAGUGGAAAAAACUUCAUCUUUGUGCUUUAAAAAAUAAGCCCAGAUUUUACGAGAAAAAUCAUCAAUAAUGGUUAGCAUGUAACGAUGUCCUCCUUUUGAAGGAACACGUGAGGGUCCCCAAAGAUCUGAAUGAAUAUAGUCAAGAGUACCUUUGGUUCUAUGAAUUCCGGUACCGAAAGUUAAUCUUUUCUGUUUACCGAGAAUGCAAUGUUCACAGAACUCCAACCUACCGGUAUUCUGACCGCACAAAAGACCUCUCUUGCUCAGGAUGGUCAUUCCUUUUUCACUCAUAUGGCCAAGAUGCCAUAAUUUUGUGACGUCUGAAUCUGACAUAGAUAAUGAUACAGNNNNNNNNNNGAACUUGUAACAGUAGAUCCUUGCAACACAUACAAACUCCCAAAUCUGUUAGCUUUCACUAAAAUAAGAGCACCUUUAGAGACCUUUAGAACUCCACCUUCAGCUGCAUAUUUACACCCAAGGGACUCCAGGGUGCCAAGAGAGAUAAGGUUCCAUUUCAAGUCGGGAACAUGUCUAACACCGGUUAAAGUUCUAAUCAUGCCAUCAUGCAUUUUAAUUCUAAUUGUUCCUUUUCCAAUAACUUUACACUGAGCAUUUUUCCCCAUUAAGACAAUACCACAAUCAACAGAUUCAUAAGUGGUAAACCAAUCUUUAUGGGGACACAUGUGAUAGGAACAAGCAGAAUCUAGAAUCCACUCCGUUUUAGAUCUAGUUCCAAAAUCAGUAACAGACAAAACUUCACCUUCAGACUCUUUUUGAGCAAUACUUGCUUCAGCUGAAUUUUCUGAAUUCUUCUGAUUAUUAUUUUCGCCUUUUUGCUACUUAUUUUCCAACUUAAAGCAUUCUAAAAUUGCAUGUCCCUUUUUCUUGCAAUAGCGACAAAAUUUCUUAUUAUCUCGGCCUCUAGACUUUGAUCUGGAUUUACUUCUACUGCUACUACCAUGAUCCAUAGUUCUCCCCCUAACAAUUAACCCUUCAGCUUCAUCCUUUGAAUUAUUCUCAUAGUCAUAUUUUUCUUUUGACAAGAGAUUUUGUUUGACAUCAUCAAAGGUUAGGGUCUCAUUACCACCGUAUAACAUAAUAUCUUUAAAGUUACGGUAUGACCGGGGAAGUGAGUAAACUAACAAAACAGCUUUAUCUUCAUCAUUGAUUUCAACAUCUAAAUUUUCCAAAUCAACUAUGAUGGAAUUAAACUCAUCAAGGUGAGUUUGAAUGGGUGUACCUUCGACCAUCUUAAUGGUAUAGAGGCGCUCCUUGAAACGAAUCUUGUUGGCAAGNNNNNNNNNNNNNNNNNNNNNNNNNNNNNNNNNNNNNNNNNNNNNNNNNNNNNNNNNNNNNNNNNNNNNNNNNNNNNNNNNNNNNNNNNNNNNNNNNNNNNNNNNNNNNNNNNNNNNNNNNNNNNNNNNNNNNNNNNNNNNNNNNNNNNNNNNNNNNNNNNNNNNNNNNNNNNNNNNNNNNNNNNNNNNNNNNNNNNNNNNNNNNNNNNNNNNNNNNNNNNNNNNNNNNNNNNNNNNNNNNNNNNNNNNNNNNNNNNNNNNNNNNNNNNNNNNNNNNNNNNNNNNNNNNNNNCGUGGUAAUGGAUAAAUAUUUAGUUUUGGUAGCUGAUGAUAAAAUGAGAAGUAAAAUAAUAAAUGGAAGAGACACAAGAUUUACGUGGAAACCCUCCAAUGUAGAGGGAAAAAACCACGGGGCGAGAGAGGAGUAAAUGCACUAUGAAAAAUAUGGAGAUACAAAUGAUUUUACACCCACACAAAAAUACACUCAAGAUAACACCUCACUACACUCAAUGAAUAUGGCAAGAGUGUGUAUAUAUAUGAAAAGGUGGUAUAUGAAGAGAGUGGAUAGUUUAGAGAAAUGCUCUUGGAGGAUUUCUCUCUUGGAUGAAUUUCACUUGGUCAAUUUGCUCCAAGCAAGGUUGCCUUAUAUAGAGUUGUAUAACCAUGUGAACAAAUUUCAAGUCUUCCUUCCAUUGUUAAAGAUGUGCCAUCCUAGUCCAAGUUAGCUCACCAACAUUGAAUUUUCUUAGCCACCAAAAGACUAGUAUAAACCACAAAACAUAUUUCUUAGCCACCAAAAGACUAGUAUAAACCACAAAACAUAUUUCUUAGCCACCAAAAGACUAGUAUAAACCACAAAACAUAUUUCUUAGCCACCAAAAGACUAGUAGUGUGAACCAACAUUGAAUCCAUCCAAAAACUAGUAUAAGCCAUGAAAAACAUGUGGCCAACCAAUAUAGACUUGAAGUGUGAAUCUUAGAAUUCUAAGGCAAUUUUAACAGAUAUCAAGAAUCUUGCCAGUGGUAGAAGCUUUAGGAAUGGUUAUAUACAAAACUCCAUCUUUAACCUCAACUUUUAUUUUCUCAAACUGUAGGUUCUCAGGUAAUGCAAUUCUGCAGCUAUAUUUCCCAUAGCUCUUAGCAGACCAUCCUCCAUCUUCUUCUUCUUCCUCUAUUCCAUUUUGUGCACCAUUGACAUUAUUUUUCUCGGGCACCUUCUCUGCUUUCAAAACCAACAUCUUCUCUUCAACCCAUACCUUCACAUCUUCUUUAGUCAUUCUCAGGCCUAAAAUAUGCCUCAAAUCUGCUUCACUCGUGAAUCAACUGAUCGAAAAGAAAUUUAUUUUGCGGAUAUGCAAAGAAGAAAGGAUAGAUUAUCUUCUACAGCACUAAACGAAAUAGGUGAGAGUUGUUCUUCUUCUUCAGCUGAUUUCGUUUCAAUAUGUCAAAGUCUUCCUCAUUCUCUCAUGUCCUGCUUAGACUAUUGCGCUAUCGUUCUUAGAGGACUAUAUCGUUUGACGAAGGCUGAGAUGGCUCGGCUUCUAUCAGCUGAAGCUCUGAUACCAGAGAAAGAAGGGGAACUCACAGAUAAUGUAGCAAAUAACGUUAUUGACGAGUUAAUUCAUCUAGGACUGCUGAUAGAAAUACACAAAGAGUUACAUAGUUUUGAAUAUGGCCUUUGUAUUGACGUUAAUGAACCAUAUAUAAAUUUAUGCGUUGUCAAGGUGGAUGAAGUGGAAUUUUUGGCUGAAGCUGCGAAUUUAUCUGUACGAGCUAUAAUACAUCAUCAUCAGAACAACAUUCCUCCUGAUUUCAAAACCCUUCAAAUUCGUUCUCUAUUUUUGACUGCAUUCGGAUCUGGUCUUUCUCAGGCCUAUAUGGAAACUAUUUGCAAGUUACAAUAUUUAUUGGUGUUACAUUACCUGACGAAGUGGGUGACUUGUUUCACCUAAGAUAUUUGGGCUCGAAUUUUUCAUAUAUGGAUGAACUUCCACAGACAUUAGGCAACCUUCAAAACCUACAAACUUUGGAUAUAAUAGCCUAUGGAACGCUGAAGGAAUUGCCUUUACAAGUCUUGAAUAUUCAACGGUUGAGACACAUCAAUAUCAUAAUACGCAACCCGUUCACUUCAAGGGGAAUUAGAGUUCCAAGUGGAAUUGGAACAUUGAAAAGUCUUCUUACUUUAGGUGCAGUAUAUGCUGGAGGCGUCAUUGCCAGUGAACUAAGCUCGUUAACCCAACUGUAACAACUCAGUAUUGGCCGUGUGUCUGAAGAUAAUUCCACCCAACUAUUUGCAGCCAUCACGAAGAUGGAAAAUCUUGUCUCCUUAUCACUCAAAGCAGAUGAAUGCUACUCCCUUAAUUCAUCUGUUCUGGAUUUGGUAUCAUUUUCCCCUCCAUCUUCUAUUAAACAUCUGAGGUUAUAUGGUGCCCUUGUUGAAAUGCCUGUUUGGCUUGCCUCGAUGGAAAACCUCACCGUGUUACAUUUAAGUUAUUCAAAUCUAUUAGAGCCCCCAGCCCCUACACUUCAAUUUCUUCCCAAAUUAAAAGUUCUUCGUAUAGGUCGUGCUUAUAAAGUACACUGCAUCGGUAAAGAGUUCUGUGACGCAGGUGGGUUUCCAAAGCUUGAAAAACUUAUUUUCUAUCAUGAGGAUUUCCUAGUGGAGUGGACAGAGAUAGUCCGUGGAGCUUUUCUGAGUUUAAUGCAUCUUGAAUUUUCGUUUUGUCCAAACUUGAGGUUUCUUCCAGAAGGCUUACAGAAUAUUUCUAGUCUUCAGGCGUUGAAUUUGUAUAAUACACAUAUGGACCUUGAAAGGCCAUUAUUGGGUGAAAAGAGUUACAAGAUCAAGCAUAUUUCAAAAGUCAGCUUCAUCGAUUGCUGAAAAUGUGAGAGAAUUAGUACAAAAUAAGUUAGAAAAAAGAAAACUCUCAUAUGUUACUUUAUUUCGUUAGGUGAUUCUACAAUGGUAGUUAUUUUUUUUAUAUAAGUUUUUCUUAAAUGACAAUUAAAAUAUCGGCUACUCCAGGAUGCAAUUCCAUGAUCAGGAUAUUAUUAGCCAGAAAGUUUUGGUUCUCUUUACACCCAAAGCUUCUUACUCGGUACUAACCAAAAAAAAAAAAAAGUCAUUUAGAUAAACUUCACAUGCAUAUAGGAAGUGAAUGAUCAUUGAACAUUGAUACCAAGAAUCUUGCCAGUGGUAGAAGCUUUAGGAAUGGUUAUAUACAAAACUCCAUCUUUAACCUCAGCUUUUAUUUUCUCAAACUGUAUGUUCUCAGGUAAUGCAAUUCUGCAGCUAUAUUUCCCAUAGCUCUUAGCAGACCAUCCUCCAUCUUCUUCUUCUUCCUCUAUUCCAUUUUGUGCACCAUUGACAUUAUUUUUCUCGGGCACCUUCUCUGCUUUCAAAACCAACAUCUUCUCUUCAACCCAUACCUUCACAUCUUCUUUAGUCAUUCCAGGCAUGUCAAAUCUCAUCUUGUACUCUGUUUCUCCUUCUUUUAUCUCCCAUGGAGUCCUUCCUCUGCUAUACCCACUUCGUUCAACUGGUGAUGGUGGCUCUGAUGGCCAAGUAGCCGUAUAGGCAAAAGGGUCUUACAUCAUUCUCUCCAUCGUCUCCAUCAUCUGCUGUACUGUUCUAGCUGUAGGAAAUCUGUCCCAUAGCUCUGCAAUUCAAGAUUUUUCUCAAAAUCUUAAAAACCCUACAUUUUACAACUAAAUAGUGUUGCAUGAAUUUAUAUUGCAAAUAUUAUGUGAUAUUUAUGAAAUAAUUUUCAUCACAUUAAUAAUAAUUAUACAUUUUCACUAAUAAAAAGUAUAAAAAAAAAAGAAGAAAAAUUUACAAUCCAUAUAUAUUCCUUAGCAUAAUUGAUGACUGUCAAAAGGAAAUAUCUCUUCCAGAUUACUAAAGCCAUCCCAUGAAAGCAAAGAGUCUACAUUAUCAAUCCAAUUCUGCUGAGAUUCUUCUUUGAUGACAGAUUCUUCAAUUCUUGAACAAAAAGAUUCAGAUUUAUCAGUACAAGAGUUCAAAACAGAUCCUGCAUCAAAUUCUUUUCUCAAAGAUUCACUUUCUAUCUGAUAAUCCUUCACUUUUGACUCUUCUUUAGCGGUUUCAGCUUCUUCUGUAUCAAUUCUCUUAUGGGUUUGUGGGUCUAUACCAAGAAUCUUUAGUUUCUUCUUAAUUCUUGUAUUCCAAUGGUUCUUUAUUUCAUUAUCUGUACGGCCUGGAAAAUGUGCAGCAAUUUUAGACCACCUGCAGAAUCAUACAAAAUUUAAUAAUUUCAUACAGUGUGUUUAAUAGUGAUUCAAAAAGUAUAAUCACAAGAAUUAAUUUUCAAACCUGUUACCCAAACGCGAAUGGAGUUCGAUUAUUUGAUCUUCUUCUGCUUCUGUUAAAGCUCCUCUUUUAAGAUCAGGCCUCAAGUAAUUCAUUCUUAUUACCUGCAAGUUUUGGGACAAGUCUCCAACAUUGGAUUCCAUUGUUGAGAAUGAAUUUCAUAAGCUUUUGGUCUUCUUCCAUAGUCCAUGGACCUCUCUUCAAUCCAAUUUUGUCACAACAAGGUUGUCUUCCCAUAUUGCAGAAGAUUAAUUAAUUUCUUGAUUAUGAUCAACAAGAAACAAGAAACAACAUAACACUCUAAUUAAAGAGCUAAGCUUUGAAGAUUAAAAGGAAGUUGUAAAAUUAUUAUAAAAUCAAGAAAAGAUUCCAUGACAGUUCAUAUCCUAACUUAAAGAAUAAGAGAAACCAAUGAUUAGAGAGCAUAAAUCAAUCAUAAAAACUAUAUAUUAGAAUGGGUUUUGAUUUUUGAUUAGAGAAAUUGAAUAACUAAUGGUAAAGUCAAGUAAAAAUAUGGUGGAAAAAGACGUGAGUCGUUGUCAUUUAUUGACAAUUUUGCAUUAGAAUAAAAUAGUGCUUGCCUUCACUAGUUGAAUUAAGAAAGCAAGAACGCAAUAAUAUUAAUUAAUAAUAAUAAUUUAAGGGCAAGAUUCUUUGGUCUGCUUUUUAUUUGGCCAGCUUCAUCAAUGGGGGGCAAACCCUUUUCUUUUUUCUACUUGAGAGCAUGUCUUCCAAUCUUUUAAGUUUUCUAAUGCUCUAUCCAUUUUUUUUUUCACCCAUCAUGCUUUCCACAUUUGACAUUUUUGUAUUUGCUUUGCUUAAGAUGUCAAAACUUUAUGGUAUUUUACUUUGUUUUUUUCAAAUCUAACUUCACAGUUCUUGAUAUGGAUGGAAUAGGUUUAAUCAUAGAAAAAAAGCCUGAAUUUUUUUGGUUUUUUUUUCAAAUUUAAUCGAUAUUGUUAAUUUUAUCAAUCAAUAUUAUGUACUUAUUUUUUAUUGCCAAUUCUAGCUUUCACCUAGAAUCUAAUUGGUUACAGUUGAGUGAUGCAAUUCCAGAAGUGGAGAAAUCUAUUUGGAGACUUUGAGGUUACUGACGGUGGAUACAUCAAGAGUCUGUUAAUUGUAAAGUUAUACUAAGUUAUUUCAAAUUUGUGGUGGAAUGAGAAGGAGAAUGUCUCAACCAACAAUGUAAUCUUUCAACUUGGAGAUUUUAAAAGUAAGGAUGAACAAUUAAAGGACUAUAUGGAUGUGAGUUGGCGUGCCGUACGUAGAACUAGCUAACGGCCAAAUAAGCAACAAACUAACGAGUAUCAGAGGGAGAACGUAAUUGAGAAAGAAAAAUAAGUUUGAUGUAGUAAUGGAUAAAAUUAAAAGUAUUGGCUAAAUUUGCCAAAUUCGUCACAAUUAAUGCCUUUUUUUUUGUGAUUUAGCCAAUUGAAUAUUAAUACUGAGUUUAAAUUUAGUUUUUAUGUCUUUCUCAUAUGUUUUUUCUUUUUUUUUUUUUUUUUUUGAGUUACAUUGUAUGGUAUCACGUUCGAGUCAUGGUGAUAUUUAAAUAAAGCAUUUCAGUUACAAUUCCAAAUCUUGAAUCUAUGAUCUUGCAUGUAAUGAAAGUUGGGAUUAACAAACAAUAUUAUUGAUAAUAUGUUUAGAUUAAACUUAGUUAUUUUAAUAAAUAAUAGUAUUGGAACUCAAGAAAUGAAAAUGAAAAAUUAAGGCAUGUCUAAUGUUUUAAAAGCAAUGUUGGAUAUGAAGAUAAGUUAUAACAAUGACAUAGUUCUUCUACUGUGGUGCUAACCUUCACUAAUUAUAUUAAAAUACUGAUUUUACUUAUAUGAACAUAGAAAAUGUAUAAAAAAAAUAAUUUAUUUGUUUAAUCAUCAUUUCAGGUUGAAUGUCCAAUCCACUUAGUCAUAACUCAUAACACAAGCAAUUAAGAGAGGUACACUACUUCUUCAUAAUUAUUAAAGAAGCAAAUGUAAAUGAUUGGAUUAAUCAUAUUUAAUCAUAUCCAUUUUAGUCAAAUUUUUGUGUAAAUUGAUUAACUAAUUUUCUUGAAAUUAAACUUUUGAGUAUUCGUAUUCUUCGGAGCGUUUCACCAAAUUUAAAUAAUUAGCUUAUUCAUGAUUUAUAGUUAUACGAGUAAUGGUUGUUAUCCAACUAUAAAUAAUGGAAUGCACCGCUUGACUAGAAGUCCACGCCACCGAGCUUGGCUAACUCCUUUAUAAUUUAUGUGAUAUAAUUUAUUCUAAUUGAUGACUGUCAAAAAAAGAAAAAUUUACAAUCCAUAUAUAUUCCUUAGCAUAAUUGAUGACUGUCAAAAGGAAAUAUCUCUUCCAGAUUACUAAAGCCAUCCCAUGAAAGCAAAGAGUCUACAUUAUCAAUCCAAUUCUGCUGAGAUUCUUCUUUGAUGACAGAUUCUUCAAUUCUUGAACAAAAAGAUUUAGAUUUAUUCAGAUUCGAACCACAUAUAUUUUCCAAGACCUCUAAAUAACCAAACUGGGAAUAGAAGCAAACUGAUAACAAUUAAACCAAAACCCACGAAAGUUUACAAAAGAACUUGUUUUAAUAGCCAUUACUUAAACAUAAUAAAAUGAUAAAUAUAGCAACAUAGAACAAGAAAAUUUUUAAGGACUAACCUCUUUGGCUUCACGAGAAGCAGUAGAUGGGUGAGAGAAUGAUCUCAUAAGACAUGUUGGUUCAGCCAUUUCACUCUUGUAUAAAAAACGAAACCCUUUCUUUUCAAAACCCUUCUUUUUUCUUUCUCUUCUUUAUUUCUAUAUAUGUUUAUUAUAAAACUCUUCAGUCUCUUAUGGACAACGGCUUCAAGGGCUCUCUGAUCGCUCUUCCUUCCACUUUAAAUUUGAAAAUCUUAAAGCUGAUGGCCCAAUGGUUCAAUUACAUGUCCAGGCGAGAAAGACACAAGAAGAGAGAGAAAAGGGUUUCUGUGUAUAACACUGUAAAGUGUAAACUGCUUGAAAUUCAAAGUAACUGAAAUUUGCAGAGAAAGAAAGAAGCUUUUAGUGUGCAGGCAUUUUUGUUUGCCUUUAAAGUGCAGGGUUUUUAUAUAUAUUUUUGAUUUUUGAUACUCCAAACAAAUUAAAUAAAUAAAUGAAAAUACCUACCAAAAUAAGUUUUUGGUUGCAACCAGAAUAUUAACGACAAUAUUAUUCAGAUAUAAAUAAUAAAUCAGUUAUAGAUAAAUUUUAUUCAUAAAUAUAUUUAGCAUUUUAUUUUCUAAAAAAAUCACAUAUAUAUAUUAUACAAAUCAAAUAUAUAAAUACAUUUUCACAAUUAAAAUAUUGGUGUAUUUUCACCGAAAAUAGAAACAGAAUAAAUACCAAUAUUUUUUUUAAAUAAUAAUUAAUUAUUAUUAAUUUGUAUAAAAAAAGAUAUACACUAAAAUUUUUUUUUAAGUUUUUGCAAGAGUGUGGAGGAUGUGGGACCCACGUGGAAGCUCCUAACCUCUAGUGUUUUUUUGUCCUAUUAUUUUGGUUCUCAGUUCUUACAAGUGAAAAAUAAGAAAAAAAAAUAAAAAAAAAUGAGUGUGUGAAGCGAAUGAAAUGUGGGCUGACAGAUGCCUCACACUCACAGAUUGAGAGAAUCUGCUUUAUUAUUAUUAUUAGGAAAUUACGGUUUGGUCCACCAUCGUUUGAAUUUGAAAUGAGGAAAGGCAGACGAAUCAAGUCCAGUAAUAGAGAUUAAGCAACGGCUUUUCUCUUUUUAACGGUAAAAUUGUACAAAGUGAUUAUUAUUUUUAAUAAGCAAACAAACCCUAUGUAUUAUGAAUGUUAAGAUACAUAAUUCGUUAUUUUCAUGUGCACCAAAAUAAUAUUCAAAAAAUACAGUUAAAUAUUUUCGAUGGUUGAGAUGAGAUAGUUGUCACGAUCUAUUUCCACGGGCCGGACCGGCACUAGGACCUGGGUGGGCUUAAGGCUCCCGAAAUCCGUAGUAAACCUAAAUUGUGCAAACCUCAUUUCCUAUUCAUAAUUGUGGAUACAGGCCCAAUAAUUUAUUUUAAUUUUGUAUGACUAGUACAGUUUAUAUAUUUAAUAUGGACUUUUAUUAUUCAUUUACAAUCCAACUGGACUACAAUUGCGAAACUCUACCUUUACAUUUACUUCAUUAUUUUAUUCACUAACAGCUCUUGAUAAUUAUUGUUUCAUUCCAUAUGACUUUUCUUUCUUCUAUUACCUGAAAAAAAAUAGGUAGGCAGGGGUGAGCUUCAAACUCAAUGAGUAGAGUUAGAUAACUCUCUUACCCCACACAAUCACACAGAUGCUAAAAAUAUUUUUACCUGGUCACCGAUUAAUUUUAUGAACAUGCAGUUGGUUACACAAAUGGCAAUACAACAGUAAUCACAAUUAUUAUCACCUUCAUAUAAUCAUAUCACGUGGAAAUUAGUCAGUGGAGUCACCUAAACCCGAUGAGCCGUCCUCCCACAUGGCCUAUCCACUCACAUGUGCACCAGGGAGCCAAUCCCCUAUUCUGGCUGACCGGUAUAAGCCUCACACUGUCGGUCCUCCGAUUAUUUUUUCCAGUCUCUCUCUCUUUUUUUUUUUUUUUUUUAAAAAAAUCCCAACAGGAGGCAACCCGGUGGUCUCCAUCCAAUCUAGAUCAUCAAGUGCUCACAACAGGAGGCCACCCUGCGGGCUUCAAUCAAAUCUAGAUUAUCAGGUGCCAACAAGAAGCCAUCAUGUGGUUUUCGGUAACGGUAACGGUAGGUGCACACGGGGGCGCCGAUCUCCCAUUUACCCGGCUAACGGUAAUGGAUCCAUAUAACNNNNNNNNNNNNNNNNNNNNNNNNNNNNNNNNNNNNNNNNNNNNNNNNNNNNNNNNNNNNNNNNNNNNNNNNNNNNNNNNNNNNNNNNNNNNNNNNNNNNNNNNNNNNNNNNNNNNNNNNNNNNNNNNNNNNNNNNNNNNNNNNNNNNNNNNNNNNNNNNNNNNNNNNNNNNNNNNNNNNNNNNNNNNNNNNNNNNNNNNNNNNNNNNNNNNNNNNNNNNNNNNNNNNNNNNNNNNNNNNNNNNNNNNNNNNNNNNNNNNNNNNNNNNNNNNNNNNNNNNNNNNNNNNNNNNNNNNNNNNNNNNNNNNNNNNNNNNNNNNNNNNNNNNNNNNNNNNNNNNNNNNNNNNNNNNNNNNNNNNNNNNNNNNNNNNNNNNNNNNNNNNNNNNNNNNNNNNNNNNNNNNNNNNNNNNNNNNNNNNNNNNNNNNNNNNNNNNNNNNNNNNNNNNNNNNNNNNNNNNNNNNNNNUGAGGAAUAUUGUAUAAUGAUAAUUAUAAUAUUGUAUAAUAUUUCUUAAUACCUAAAAUUUUAGUCGUCACUACUUAUUAAGAACAUGAUUAAUUUAAUUCUCCAUUUAAUGCUUUACUGAAAAUUCGGCAGCAUUUCCUAUAUAAACUGAACUAGCCAAAUUUUUACAUCUAUCACAUAUCAACACACAGCCCAUCCAAUUUACAUUAACCGAUCCCGUCCACCAUAACUAUCACUUAUUAGUCAUCCAUCAUUAGUAGGCCCUUGAUAAUUCUAUCACCAAUAAAUUUUUAAUUUUCGUAAUAUCAUUAAUUAUUUAAUAAUUUUUCCUAUUUAUACUUCCUAAAAUCCCGAAAAUUAACAUAUAUAAUUAUUAGUUAAAAUUCAUAUUUCAAUAUCAAUACUGUAGUUACUUUUAAUAAUAUUCAAUUUAAUUCACUUAAUUACUUGAUUAAUUCGUUAAUUAAUUAAUUCGGGAUUUAUUCAAAAAUUGCAGUUUAAUUUCAUAAAUCUCCAAUUUUAAUAAUUCAAUUAAUCUUAUAUCCAAUUAAUUAAUUAAUUCACGUUGUAAAUUUUAUACCGAAAAAUGGACAACUAAGCCUUACAAUGUACCGAUGGAAAUUCGGAUUUGAUUUCCGUGACCCGCGCGAAGAGGAGAUCAUUCUGCCUCUUAAAGUCCUCGCCGGAGUCUCGCCGGAACGCCGCCGCCGCCGCCGUGCACGGUUGCCGGAAAAGCUAAACCGCCCAGAAAAUUGCAAGGUCACCACCACCCGACUCCAAUUUUCGUGAGGAAUCCAAAUCUGCUAUCACUUUGUUGAGCUAGUGGCUCGUUUGGCCGGAUCGACCUCCACAACCACCUUCAAGCCGCCGUCCAUGGUGGUUAAUCAAAACGCAAGCAACAUCACAAAUUAAUGGAGGGGAAAGGUUCAUAUGUAGGAGAGGAGUCGUUUGAGACCAACCCCAACACUUGAAGUCGACGGAAUUGAUGAGAUUUCGCCGGAAAACGCCAUCGCACGGUGACGCGGCCUGCCAGUCGCGAUCUCUCUCGCUUCAGGCUCUCAUCGCUCAAACCAAGGCCACCGGAGUGAUUGUCUCGUUGAGCUCUUGCGAUUAGAGUGCUUGCUUGCUUGAGACGAUAGCCGUUUGGCCGGCAAACGGGAAGGAGAGGAGGGAGAGCUGUCGUGCGCUGGAGAAGGAAGAAGAAGAAAAGAAGAAGAAAAGAAAAGAAAGAAUGUCGGUUUCUAGAACAUUCCGGUUCGAUUCAAAAUCGGUUUGAUCUGAUUCAAUGAUUUGGCUCGAUUCUUGCUCGGUUUCAGAUUUUUCACUUGGUUUUCAGAGUAUUCGUGUGGUUUCCGAAAAAUUAAAUUGAUUGUCAGGCCCGGUUCGAUUUAUUUUGAGUAUUUAGUUUGGUUCCAUAAUAUUUUCUCCAUUUACUCAAUAUUAAUCAAAUAUGAACAGUUCAUGAUUUUUUUUUUUUUGAUUUUAGGAUAAUAAAUUUCUAUAAUAGUUAUAUACGUAUACAUACAUUUAUAAUCAAUUAAUAAUUAGUGUUCCAUUUUAUUUCAUCAAAAUAUUUAGUGUUCUCCGAUCGAACAUUCCGGAUAAUCAGUUUUUUGGGCUUGGGCCCAAUUCGAAAAUUUGGGCUUAAAUUGAGACUGUAUUCCAUUUGCAGCCCAUACGGUCAAAAAUUUCGAUUUUUGAUUUAAAUUAAAUUUGAAAGUUUCAAAAAUAAAAAUUUGGGUUAUUUCAAUAGUAUAGAUUCUUUUUCUUUUAAUCAGAUAUCUUGAAUACGAGCUCUAAAUGUGAAGUCUCUUUCAACACUCAGAGAAAGCGUUUUUAUCCCAUUUUAUAUGUCUGCCUAAUGUAAAUUCAAACUAGUCGAGCCAAUGAGCUACGGGUACCAGAUCAUUAAAAAAAAAAAGAUUGUUGAAUGUUAAAACCUUGAAUCAUAUUUGGACACAACCAACGAUUUGGUUCUAUUGGAUAUUGAAUCAAACACUAUUUUACUUAUAACUUUUAACUUAAAAGAUAAAUUUAACUAAAUUAGAAGUCAAACUAAAAGACCAUUUAUAUUAGGAAACAAGGUUUUACAAAUAUUGAAAAUUCAUAAAGAUGUGUGAUUUAUUUCAAUCCAUUAAAAAAGAAAAUCUAUUUUAUCUGGGAAAAAAAAUGAAAAUUCAGCAAUUACGUAGGCUUUAGUUACUGAAAUUCAAUUUUUUAUGGAAAAUUAUUUUUUAGAAAUGUAAAAUUUGAAAAAAAAUAUUAUAGGAAAGUUAAAUAUUGUAUUGGAAUGACAAUAAAUGUUUUCCGUUCAACAAUAAAUAUUGUAUUAUUUAAAAUUUCCUUUUUCUAGGAGAAUUUAAUUUUCCACCAUUUAAAACGAGAAAUUACUUGUCAGUAUACAUAAAAACACUUUCUACACGUCAAGACACAGUCUAGUGUGAAUUCAUAUACAACUUGGCAAUAGAUCUAAAUUUGAACUUUCUAAUUUUUAAACUUUUAUAUUUUAAAAGGCAUUGCAAAUUUUACGACCAACCAUGAUAUAUGAUGAUGAUAACGAUAAUAAUAUAAUCUUAGCAAAAAAAAUUAAGAUAGUAUCAAUUUAAUUACCAAUAUAUCAUUUUUUUUAUCAGUAAAUUCAAUUUAUUUUAUUAAUAUGCCAGGAAAAAUUUAACUUAUCUAAGCAACUAACCCAAACUAAUAUGCUUCUAAAUACAUCCAAAAUUAGCCUAAAAUAAUUGAAAAAACCAGAAAGAAAAAUAUUAAUAUCUCAUUUGUAGUGUGCACAAGUUGAAGUUGGUAAGAAAUCAACAUACACAAGGUCAGAACAAGCAGUUACAUCUACCAAAAUUUUCAAAGCUUGUUGAAAAAUUAAAGCAAAAUAAAAAAAUAAAGACACAUUCCUUUUUAUAUAUAAUUUAAAAAACCUGAGGAAAAUUGAAAUUUCAAUUAGGAGGGAUGAAUUGCAGUUUUGGAAGCAUCCCCAAUUUUUCUUUUUAAAUGACGCUUAUGGUAUUCCACAUGUAGAAUAAUGGCCGAAUGUAUAUAAAAGAUCCAGUAAUAUUUUCUUACAUUACGAGUGAUCACAUACGUUUAAUUUAAUUAAAAAAAUAAUUAUUUUUAAAUAUUACUUGUUUUUUAGUAUAUAAUUUAAAAAUUAAAAUGUCAUCAUUUAAACUAAAAUACUGUUUAAGAUUGGUUUGAUAUAUAAAUAGAUGAAAAAAACUUACUUAGAUCCGGUCCAUAGCCCAUUUAUGGACCAAAUAAAUAAAAUUCAUAAUUUACAAAAAAGUGUCCCUGACUUUAUCAUUUUUUUUCUAAAUGUAUGGUCAGAAAUAUAUUCUUUCAAUAAAAAUAUUAAAUUUCAAUUGGUUUAGACCAUAGGUAUGGAUAUAAAUCGGGUCUAGCUAAGUUUUUCUCGUAAGUGGAAAGGAAAAAAGUUAUCUAGACUGGAUCCAAUGAAAUUCAAUAUUCUUAUUGAAACGAUGAUAUUUCUGACCAUACACUUAAAAAUUUUUACUGCAUUAAUUAUUGUCUGCUGACUUUAAAAAGUAUUAUUUUUUAAAAAAAUAAUUAUUUUAUCUCUGAGAUUUACCGCUCUUUGAUUAAAAUAUUUGAAAUGCCUCUGAUAUUUGCUUCCCUCGUAUUGCUAGGUCAUUCUGUAAAAAAAAAAAAACACACAUUUUCCUUUAAUUUUAAAGUAAAACGUUAAGGUUAAGUUUUGUAAAUUUCUUUCCCAUAUCAGUUACUUUAUCUUUUCCCUUAUCUUUUCUUUCUUCUCGAUUUUCAGAUCUCGAUGAUGAAAUAAUUAUUUUCCCUUAUCUUUUCUGGUUCCUUCACGCAUCCAAAAAUAUGCCUCAGAUCUGCUUCACUCGUGAAUCAACUGAUCGAAAAGAAAUGUAUUUUGCGGAGAUGCAAAGAAGAAAGGAUAGCUUAUCUUCUACAGCACUAAACGAAAUAGGUGAGAGUUGUUCUUCUUCUUCAGCUGAUUUCGUUUCAAUAUAUCAAAGUCUUCCUCAUUAUCUCAUGUCCUGCUUAGACUAUUGCGCUAUCGUUCAUAGAGGACGAUAUGGUUCUCCUUUAACGAAGGCUUAUAUGGCUCGGCUUUUAUCAGCUGAAGAUCUGACACCAGAGAAAGAGGGGGAACUCAUAGAAAAUCUAGCAAAUAACGUUAUCGACGAGUUAAUUCAUCUAGGACUGCUGAUAGAAACACACACAACAGUGUCAUAUACUUUUGAUUAUGGGCCUAAUAUUGGCUUUAAUGAAUCAUAUGUAAAUUUAUGCGUUGUCGAGGUGGAUGAAGUGGAAUUUUUGGCUGAAGCUGCGAAUUUACCUGUUCGAGCUAUAAUACAUCAUCACCGGAACAAUAUUCCUCCUGAUUUCAAAACCCUUCAAAUUCGUUCUCUAUUUUUGAAUGCAUCCGGGCCUGGUUUUUCUCGGGCCUAUCUGGAAACUAUUUGCAGGUUGCAAUAUUUAUUGGUGUUAAGUUUGGAUGGCGGCCUUGGGGAGGGAUUACCUGACGAAGUGGGUGACUUGUUUCACCUGAGAUAUUUGCGCUCGAAAUUUUUUUUGAAGGAUGAACUUCCGCAGACAUUAGGCAACCUUCAAAACCUACAAACUUUGGAUAUAAUCGCCCAUAGAAAGCUGAAGGAAUUGCCUUUACAAGUCUUUAAUAUUCAACAGUUGAGACACAUC